UACGAAGGGGGCUAGCGUUGUUCGGAAUUACUGGGCGUAAAGGGCGCGUAGGCGGUGCUGUAAGUCAGGCGUGAAAUCCCCGGGCUCAACCUGGGAAUUGCGUUUGAUACUGCGGCGCUGGAAUGCGGGAGAGGAUGGCGGAAUUCCCAGUGUAGAGGUGAAAUUCGUAGAUAUUGGGAAGAACACCGGUGGCGAAGGCGGCAUCUGGCCCGUAAUUGACGCUG
rnacentral:rRNA from 1 species